CAUAGCUCUGCACAGGACAGGGUGGAGAGGAGCCUGGAGGUAGGCUCUGUAUUUCAGAUAAACAUGACUGUGGCCUGAGGCUCUCUCCAGGCACUGUCCAAAGGAUUUGGUCUCAGGACCAAAAUGUUAUAGGUUGAUAUGGUAUGAUAUGUUUCAUGUUGUAGGUUGAUAUGGUUUGGCUCUGUGUCCCCACCCAAAUCUCACUUUGAAUUUAAUCCUUAUAAUCCUCAUAUGUCAAGGGCAGGACCAAGUGGAGGUUAAUUGAAUCUUGGGGGCAGUCUCCCCCAUGCUGUUGUCAUGAAAAUGAGUGAGUCUCAUGAGAUCUGAUGGUUUUAUAAGUGUCUUGUAUUUCCCCUGUUGGCACUUCUCCUUCCUGCCGCUUUGUGAAGAGGGUACCUUGCUUCCCCUUCACCUUCUGCCAUGAUUAUAUGCUUCCUGAGGCCUCCCCAGCCAUACUGAACUGUAAGUCAACUAAAUCUCUUUCCUUUAUCAAUUACCCAGUCUCAGGCAUGUCUUUAUUAGACUGUGACAGUGGACUAAUGCAUAGGUCUAUUCAGAUUUUCAGUAUUCUCUGAAGGUAGUUUUGGUAAUUUAUCUUUUUCUAGGAUUUUUUCCAUUCCAUCUAAGUUGUCUGAUUUGUUGACAUAAAGUUGUUUAAAAUAUUCACUUAUCAUUCUUUUAAUUUCUGAUGGGUCAGCAGUGAUGGCUGCUCUUAGAUUCUUGAUUGUUAAUUUGUGUUUUCUGCCUUUUUUCUUGGUCAGUUUAGCUAAAAGUUUAUCAAUUUUGCAAUCUUUUUUAAGAAUCACCUUUUUGUUUCUUUGAUGUUCUCUAUUAUUUUUCUCUUUGCUAGUCAAUUGAUUUCUGCUUUAGACUUUAUUUCUUUCCUUUUAAGGUUUAAUUUGCCUCUCUCUCUAAUUUCUUAAGAUGGAAGCUUAAAUUAUUGUUUUGAGAACAUUCUACUCUUCUAGGUCCUGCUUUAGCUUAAUCCUGUUAAUGUUGAUGUGUAUAGACAUGUAUAAAUACAUAGUUUAUUUUUGUUUCGUUCAGUUCAAAAUCUUUCUAAUUUCCAUUGUAAUUUUUCUCUUCAACUCAUAGUUAUUUAGAAAUGUGUUAAUUUCUAAAAUUUGAGGAUUUCCCAAACUUAUUUUUGUUUCUAAUUUAAUUCCUUUGUGGCUGGAGAACAUACUCUGAGUGAUUUAAAUUCUUUUAAAUAUAUUAAAAAUUAGUUUUAUGGUCUAGUAUGUGGUCUAACCUGGAGAAUGUUCCAUGUGCUUUUGAAAAAAUGUGUAUUCAUUACUUGAGGGUAAAGUAUUCUAUAAAUGUCAGUUAGUCAAGUUGGUUGAUAGUGUUGUUCAUGUCUUCUAUUUCCUUGUUAAUUUUCUGAAUAGUUGUCCUAUCAGUUAUUAAAAAUGGGUUAUUGAACUCUCUAACUAUAAUUGUUAAGUCUAAAUAAUCUGUUUCUUCUUUCAAUUAUAUCGAUUUUUGCUUCCUAAUUUUGAGACUCUACUAUUAGGUACCAUCACACUUGUAAUUAUUAUAUAUUCCUAAUGUAUUGACCCUUUAUGAUACUGUAAUGUCAUUUCUUGUCUCUAAUAAUAUUUCUUGUCUUAAAUUUUAUUUUCUCAGAUAUUGAUGUAGGCACUCAAGCUCUCUUAUUGCCAGUAUUUGCAUGGUACUCUCUUUUUCAUCCUUUUACUUCCAACUUUUGUCUUUUUGUAUGAAGUAUCUCUUGUAGAUAGUAUACAAUUGAAUCUUGCUUUUUUAUCCAUUUUGACAAUCACUGCCUUUUUUUUGUAGUGUUUAUUCAUAUUUAAUAUUAUUAUCAGCACGGCUGGAUUAAGGUAUGCCAUUUUGUUUCUAUGUCUUAUUUUUAAAAUCUGUUCUUGCCUUACGGCUUUUGUGCUAAACAUUUUUUUAAGUAUUCUACUUUGAUUCCUCUGCUGUUGUACUGUAUUUUUGAGUUAUUUUCUUAGUGGUUGCUCUGUAGAUUACAAUCUGCAUCUUAAUUUAUAACCAUCUAAUAUCUAAUAUCUAAUAUCAUUACCUGAGGUAAUACUGACUUAAUUCUAAGAAAAUAUAGAAAUAUUGCUUCAAUACUUUGUUUCUUCCUCUCUCCUUUAUAAUAUAUCUCUCUAUUGUUAUAAAUCCAGCAACAUAGUACAAUAAUUAAUGCUUUAAUCUAAUGUCUUCAAACAAAAUUAGAAUGGAAGAUAACACGUUUAUAUAGUCUUUUACAUUUACCCACAGAUAUCCUUUUGAGUGCUCUUCAUUUCUUUCUACAGAUCCACAGUCUCAUCUAGUUUUAUUUCCUUUCACCCUGAAAUACAUCCUUUAAUAUUUUUCCAGUGGCAGGUCAGCUAAUAAUGAGUUCUCUCAGUCUUUGUUUAACUGGGAAUAUCUUUAUUGUGCUUUCAUUUUUGCAGUUCUAGUGGAAAAACAGAAUUCUUGAUUGAAAGAUUUUUCCUUUGGCACUUGGAAUGUCAUUCAACUGCCUUCUGUCGUCUGUCAUUUCUGAUGAGAAGUCAGUUGCUAAUUGCAUUGUUCCCUGUUCAUGAUGAGUUAUUUUUCUCAAGCUGCUUUUCAGAUUUUCUCUUUUUUUCCCAACAGUUUGACUUUGAUGUGUCUAGGUGUGUAUCUCUUUGUAUUUCAUGUGAUUUUGGUGUGAAGCAGUAGCGUUAGAUAGCUCGUGUAUACUAUUGUUUAAUUAAUUAAUUUUAAUUUUUAUUUUUGAGAGAGUCUCGUUCUGUCACCCAGGCUGGAGUGCAGUGGCACGAUCUCGGCUUACUGCAACCUCCGCCUCCUGGGUUCAAGCAAUUAUCCUGCCUCAGCCUCCCUAGUAGCUGUGAUUACAGAUCAAGAUGAAGGGAGAAGGCCGGACGAUGAGAGGGGAGUGAACCCUGGGCGUAAUGGUUCCACACCAAGAGAAGUUCUGAAGGUCAAGGUCCAGAAGCCAAGAUUCAGCUGGGCAGGCUGCAUCUCUACAAGGCAGCCUCAGAUGUUCAUUGUCAAAUGGAUGAACUGGGAAGAGAGAGAGAGAGAUGAGGGGUUGUUGUCCUUCCAUGUCCCUUCCAGCCUCAGCCUCAGGAGUGGCCCCAGUUUGCUGACAUCACAGGAGAUCUGCUAUUUGAUCAUUUUGCCUGCCAACUUGGAUGUCUGUCUCAGCAGGAAACCAUUUAAAGAAAAUAAAUGAAUUCUCAGCUCUUGACAUUUUCUGGAGGACCUGAGUCCUUUCCAAGUGAGCUCACAUCAAGCACAGAUGGGUGACGAUAUGGGGCAGGGCAGGAGCCUAUUCCAGCCCCUACACCUGUGGACACUUGGGUUAGAGGUGUCCACACUUCUACCUUGAACCUGCAGCACUGGAAUACUUCCUCCACACUGCUGGUGCUCUGGAGCCUUUGACUAGCCAGGGGGCCGCUGCGUAACAAACCUUCCCACUGUCUCCUUCCACCAUGGACCAGGGGCAGCCAUCACACUUCUUCAUGUUUUUUAGUGACAUUUAUCUUAAAGUAAAUGAUAAAUAAAGGUGGACCUAGGGGUCUCUCUUGUUUUCUUUCUUUCUUUUUUCUUUCUUUCUUUCUUUCUUUCUUUCUUUCUUUCUUUCUUUCUUUCUUUCUUUCUUUCUCUUUCUUUCUUUCUUUCUUUUCCUUCUUUCCUUCUUUCUUUUGAUGGAGUCUCGCUCUGUCGCCCAGGCUGGAGUGCAGUGGCACAAUCUUGGCUCACUGUAAGCUCCAUCUCCCGGGUUCAUGCCAUUCUCCUGCCUCAGCCUCCCGAGUAGCUGGGACUACAGGUGCGGGCCACCAUGCCAGGCUAAUUUUUUGUAUUUUUAGUAGAGAUGGGGUUUCACCGUGUUAGCCAGGAUGGUCUCGAUCUCCUGACCUCGUGAUUCACCCGCCUCAGCCUCCCAAAGUGCUGGGAUUACAUCUUCCUUUCUUUUUUAAGAGACAGGGUCUUGCUAUCACUCUCAUCCAGGCUGGAGUGCAGUGGUGAAAUCAUAGCUCACUGCAUCCUCAAACCCCUGGCCUCAAGCAAUCCUCCCGCCUAGGCCUCCCAAAUAGCUGGGACUGCAGGGGCACACCACCAUGCCCAGCUUCCUCUUAUUUUCAUAAAAGAAUAAUUUGUGUGUGCACAUCUUUCUUUGGAAUCUUGGAUUGAUCGAAGGAGGUAUAGUUAUUACAUGUGUCCUACAUGCUGAAGGUGAAAGACAAAACUAGAGAAGAAAAAUGCCCAAUUUCUGUGGGAGUGAUUAUAACAAAAUAGCUAAUAUUUUUGAGAUACUAUUUAUCAAGUAAUCAAUUAAGCCAUUACAAUAAUUCUGUGAGCUAAGUACCAAUAGUAUCCCCAUUUGGGUCACCGUAAUAAUACGUAAUUGGCUCAAUGAAAUAAUAAUGCGUCCAGGGAUCUGAGAUACACACUUGAGAAAAUUAGUGGUGAGUCAACAUAAUUGCCAAAUUGUAUGAUAUUAUUAUAAAGCAAAGCUUUUGGUGUAAUAUUAAGGCCUAUGUCUCUUUCUGUAAAUGGUUAAACUGAGGCACAGAGCAGCCUGCUUAAUCGAAAUCAGAGCACAAAAGAGGGGAGGAGGUACAAUCCUCUAAAACACAUACUGUCAUCAACCUCUUCAUCUUGAAAUAUUCAAGUAAAUGUUAUCCAAACCCAAAGUUACUAAUGAAUUUGGAAAUGAGCUGGCUGUGACUGUGAGUAUGGAAAUUGGUGGAGAGGAGAAACUCCAGAGACUGGGGAGGAGCCACAGGCUGCCUGGCUUUAGAGUUGUUAGGUAGAAGAGAAAGCAGACCUGGAAAGAAAGAUACAGGGAGGGAAAGAAGGAAAAGGGAGAUAAAAAUUACAGAAACCAUUGAAGGAAACUGCUUCACAGUUUCCCCUCUGCCUUUGGGCAGGAGAAUGUCUCAAGAGCGUUCCCAAGCUUCAUGUGCACAGGAAUCAGUGGGGUCCUGUGAAAGACGACGUCCAUUCAGCAGGUCUGGGGCAGGGCCUGGCACUCUGCAUUUCCAAUGCUCUCUCCUAAGUGAUGCCUAUGCUGCUGCUGGCCCAUGGAACUCCCUGUGAGCAGAUGGGGUCCACUGGGAUCCUCUGGGGAGAGGGUGAUUGAAACCCCCUGGAAUCCUUCUCCCAUACCUCUGACACUCAGACCCAUGGUCUCCCACCCCCGUCAUUGCUACAAUGGCCCCGGUAACUGGCCAGUUUUGUACUUAUUGGAGUCUGGGGGAGCGUCAUGGGAACCACGGGACGACAUGAGCAAGGGAGAGUGAGCAAACUGGCAGCUGGAAGGCAGGCAGGCUAAGUUACCCAAAUGACAGAAGGAAGACAAGGACAAGAAGGCAGAGUCUGCUCACUCACUCAAGUCAAGGUGAUUAAUCUCUCUAUGCCUCAGUUUCCACCCUGCAAAAUGGGAAUACUAUUGGUACUUAGCUCACAGAAUUAUUGUAAUGGCUUAAUUGAUUACUUGAUAAAUAGUAUCUCAAAAAUAUUAGCUAUUUUGUUAUAAUCACUCCCACAGCUAGAUGUCAGCCCUUGCAUGAAAUCAGGCAUUCGGCAAACAUCUAUGCAGCGUGGACUCUGCCGGGCCCCAGCUGGGUCCCUGAGCAGAGGGUCUGGAUUGGCCAUACCUCAUUUAUAUUGAGAUGAAUGAACUCCUUGUUUUUUGUACUGAGAGCCUGGAACACCCCUGAUAGGAGAGAAGGGGGAAAGGCAUCCUUUUAAAGACAAUUCCUUUACCAAGUUUGUUUCCCAGCGACCAAAGGGCCUUCCAGUGGAGCCUGUGGGGAAGCUGCUCCAUCUGGUGGUAAACAAGGACUUUCAUCAAGGGCGGCGAUGGGACUCGGGCCGGCUGAAGGGGAACUUCUCUGAACGGAUGGAGGCAUCCAGUCCUGUAGCAAGCCAGUGGUCACCUAAGCCAGUCACCCGGCCAGCAGCUCCUGGAGCCAAAGCAACGCCCCUAUCUUAACCUUCUGGGGGGUACAGGGCCCUUGAAAUCCAUGGUCCCCAGAAAAAAAGCACACGUACGUAAAGUUUUGCAUGAAUCUGAAAGUUGUUAGUCUCGCCCUUGUAGGAAGGUGCUGUGGGUGCUGUCAGAGGACAGAGCGGCACAGGAGAGCGUGCCAGCACUGAGCUGGGGGCUGGGUCUACCGCAUGGUGUAGUGACCUGAGUGCAUCUGAGCAAGUCACUGCCCUCUUGGGGCCUCAGCCUCCUCACCUUCAGAAGACGAGGUCGAGCCAAUCAGCCCUGGCUUCACUUGAGAAUCUCACGGGUAGCUUUAAUAAUACAACCCAAAGCGGGAUGGGGGACCAUCACCGCACACAAGAAAUGGAAGAGACCCAACAACCAAACAUGGUGACUGGGUCUUGUGUGGAUCCUGAGUCAACCAAGCAACUGUAAAAAGGUGGCCUGGAAGAUUUGGGCAUGAACCGGGCACUAGAGAAUGUUGAGGGUUUGCUGAGAAUUUCGUUAGGUGUGCAAAUGGUAUGAAAAUGAUGCUAAAAACAAGUCUAUCAGCUGGAGAUACUCAGAUGAAUGGACAGAGUUUCUGAGAUCUGCUAUUCAAUUAUUUAGGAGGAAAAUGUAUGUGUUGCGGGAGCACAGGGGAAAAGUCAGCAAGAUGGUAAUUGUUGAGGUUGGGUGUAAAGGUCUGGAAACACCUGGUGAAUUUGCAUAACUCCCAAUGCUGUGUGCCACCCCUGAGAUUCUAACAGAAUUGGUCAACUGCACAGCCUGGUCAUCAACAUUUCUUUAGGCACCCCUGGAGAUUGUAAUGUACAGCAAAGUUUGAGAAGUGCUGAUGUGGAGUGCGUGGGAACCUAUUAAGAUUCUUUAUAUCUAA